rnacentral:snRNA from 1 species
UAUCAGAUCCACAUCCUUCU